rnacentral:rRNA from 1 species
GGAUAAGCGCUGGAAACGGCGUCUAAUACUGGAUACGAGUAGCGACCGCAUGGUCAGUUACUGGAAAGAUUUAUUGGUUGGGGAUGGGCUCGCGGCCUAUCAGCUUGUUGGUGAGGUAAUGGCUCACCAAGGCGUCGACGGGUAGCCGGCCUGAGAGGGUGACCGGCCACACUGGGACUGAGACACGGCCCAGACUCCUACGGGAGGCAGCAGUGGGGAAUAUUGCACAAUGGGCGCAAGCCUGAUGCAGCAACGCCGCGUGAGGGAUGACGGCCUUCGGGUUGUAAACCUCUUUUAGCAGGGAAGAAGCGAAAGUGACGGUACCUGCAGAAAAAGCGCCGGCUAACUACGUGCCAGCAGCCGCGGUAAUACGUAGGGCGCAAGCGUUAUCCGGAAUUAUUGGGCGUAAAGAGCUCGUAGGCGGUUUGUCGCGUCUGCUGUGAAAUCCGGAGGCUCAACCUCCGGCCUGCAGUGGGUACGGGCAGACUAGAGUGCGGUAGGGGAGAUUGGAAUUCCUGGUGUAGCGGUGGAAUGCGCAGAUAUCAGGAGGAACACCGAUGGCGAAGGCAGAUCUCUGGGCCGUAACUGACGCUGAGGAGCGAAAGGGUGGGGAGCAAACAGGCUUAGAUACCCUGGUAGUCCACCCCG